UACGAAGGGGGCUAGCGUUGUUCGGAAUUACUGGGCGUAAAGCGCACGUAGGCGGACAUUUAAGUCAGGGGUGAAAUCCCGGGGCUCAACCCCGGAACUGCCUUUGGUACUGGGUGUCUAGAGUAUGGAAGAGGUGAGUGGAAUUCCGAGUGUAGAGGUGAAAUUCGUAGAUAUUCGGAGGAACACCAGUGGCGAAGGCGGCUCACUGGUCCAUUACUGACGCUGAGGUGCGAAAGCGUGGGGAGCAAACAGG
rnacentral:rRNA from 1 species